UACGUAGGGGGCGAGCGUUGUCCGAAGUUACUGGGCGUAAAGCGCGCGUAGGCGGACUCUUAAGUGAGGGGUGAAAGGUUCAGGGCUCAACCCGAACACUGCCUUUCAUACUGGGAGUCUUGAGUGCGGGAGAGGCGAGUGGAAUGGUCGGUGUAGCGGUGAAAUGCGUAGAUAUCGAUCGGAACACCCAUGGCGAAGGCGGCUCGCUGGGACGUGACUGACGCUGAGGAGCGAAAGCGUGGGGAGCGAACAGG
rnacentral:rRNA from 1 species